UUAUCCAGAGCACACAGCAAAUAAACCAGAUACAAAAUAAGUUAAAGAAAGACUGAGUCAUUCACAUUUCCAAUAAAUUAAAGGGGAAAAAUCCUGUCAUUUUUCACUCUAUUUCACAUCAGAGAGCAAUCACAACAGACUAUUCACUUAAUGUGAUGAUGACUUUACCCCUGCCCCCAAGGGGCUUCUCUGCCUCUCUUGUACAGCCCUGAAAAUUAUCACAUUUGCCCCCAUUUUACAUCUCUCCCCACACCCAGUUUGUCCCAUUUCAAAUGCUCUGGGUUCUUACAUCUGCUGUCAGUCUCUUUUUACUUUUCUUUGAUUUUUACCAGCUGCAAGAAAAGAAAAAAAUACACAAACCCGUAUAUCUGAUUAGAUGUGCAUGACAUACAAUGCUACACCUGAACGUACAGCUGAGUUCACUCAGAUCCAGUUUUCCCAAAAGAUCAGAAGUCUGAGCAAAAUCAAGCCAAUCUAGGAACACAAAUCCUGUAAAGAAGGUCCCCCUGAAUCCUGUUUCCAGUUUCUCCACAGAUAACUCGAGGGGAUGCUGUGCGGCCAACUCAUCACUGUGGUAGUAAUUUUGCAUACCCAGCUUCAAUUUUAUCUCCAGCCCUUGGGAAGUAAAAAGCUAAAUGAGGAAUCUAAAGUGAGAACUCAGCUUCCUGUUGAACUAGAACUUUUCUAAGCUACCAUGGAGUUUGAAAGUUUUGUUAAGCCACGUUCAGGUACUAAUGACUUUUAUUGUAGAAGAUCAGUGAAAAGAAUCAUUGCAUUUGGGCAAGGAGAGACCUCAGAGAUCCCUUGUGCAGACUCCAGCUCAAAGCAGGACUACGUUACAGUGCUAUAACACAAAAUCUUGAAGCAGAAGAGAGCAGAUGUGGGGAUGUUUCCAGGUAAAGGUCUUCCCAGAGUUUUUCAAAACUUGUUAUCGAAGCCUAGCAGUACAGAAACUGAGUUUGCUCUGGAGCACAGCAGCUGCUGUGUUACUUAAUAAAAAGAUUUUCUAUAUUGCAUUGCUGGUGUGCACCAAGCUUCUAAAAGCAUUACAGAAGGUAAGAUCAGAAGUGUAUGGUGGAAGCCAAAAGAGAAAUGGCUGCAUUUGAGUUUAGCUCAAAAACCCAGUUAUAAUUUCAUAGGAGAACUGAGGGAGAUUAGAGUAAACUCCUACACUGCUCUUGCUGCUCAGAGAUUGUGCCACAGUGAGGCUGAAAGCUGAGAACAACCUGGAGACUCAAUGUGGGUAUUCACUCCCACAGGGAUGCUGCUGACUGACUUAACUGGAACUAUAUUUGAGCAGAAUGUUUCAGAUCUUCUGCCCACUUUGUACGAGAUCAAAUCCCAUCCACUCACUCAAAAGCAAGAACUUCUGCUUUCUCAAAAAAUUAAUUGCAAAUUUUAAACAUAGAAUAGUAACACAACAUGCAAAAAUAAGUUUGACUAACUCUAGGUGAUUUGCACUAGCGUUACUCUGCACA
rnacentral:lncRNA from 1 species